GACGAACGCUGGCGGCGUGCCUAAUACAUGCAAGUAGAACGCCGUUGCGAACGGGUGAGUAACGCGUAUGUAACUGCCUCAUAGCGGGGGGUAACUUUUGGAAACGAUAGCUAAUACCGCAUUCUGUGAGAUGUACCUGCGUUGUAUUUGCUAGUUGGAGAGGUAAAGGCUCACCACGGCGACGAUACAUAGCCGACCUGAGAGGGUGAUCGGCCCAACUGGGACCUGGACACGGCCCAGACUCCCACGGGAGGCAGGAGUAGGGAAUCUUCGGCAAUGGACGGAAGUCUGACCGAGGAACGCCGCGUGAGUGAAGAAGGGUUUCGGAUUGUAAAGCUCUUUUGUUAGAGAAGCGGUAACGAAAGAGAAAGGGACGGCUAACUACGUGCCAGCAGCCGCGGUAAUUC
rnacentral:rRNA from 1 species